rnacentral:rRNA from 1 species
GAUGAACGCUGGCGGCGCGCUUAACACAUGCAAGUCGAACGGUGAACGAGGGAGCUUGCUCCCUCCGGAUCAGUGGCGAACGGGUGAGUAACACGUGAGCAAUCUGCCCUGGACUCUGGGAUAAGCGUUGGAAACGACGUCUAAUACCGGAUACGAGGCGUGGGGGCAUCCCCAACGCCUGGAAAGAACUUCGGUCCAGGAUGAGCUCGCGGCCUAUCAGGUAGUUGGUGAGGUAACGGCUCACCAAGCCUACGACGGGUAGCCGGCCUGAGAGGGUGACCGGCCACACUGGGACUGAGACACGGCCCAGACUCCUACGGGAGGCAGCAGUGGGGAAUAUUGCACAAUGGGCGCAAGCCUGAUGCAGCAACGCCGCGUGAGGGACGACGGCCUUCGGGUUGUAAACCUCUUUUAGCAGGGAAGAAGCGAAAGUGACGGUACCUGCAGAAAAAGCACCGGCUAACUACGUGCCAGCCGCCGCCGUAAUAC